rnacentral:rRNA from 1 species
GUAGGGGGCAAGCGUUGUCCGGAUUUAUUGGGCGUAAAGAGCGUGUAGGCGGCCAGGUAGGUGGGUUGUGAAAACUGGAGGCUCAACCUUCAGACGUCGACCCAAACCCCCUGGCUAGAGUCCGGAAGAGGAGAGUGGAAUCCCUGGUGUAGCGGUGAAAUGCGCAGAUAUCAGGAAGAACACCCGUGGCGAAGGCGGCUCUCUGGGACGGUACUGACGCUGAGACGCGAAAGCGUGGGGAGCGAACAGGAUUAGAUACCCUGGUAGUCCACGCCGUAAACGAUGGGUGCUAGGUGUGGGGGGUGUCGACUCCCUCCGUGCCGAAGCUAACGCAUUAAGCACCCCGCCUGGGGAGUACGGCCGCAAGGCUA